UUGAGUUUGUUGAUUCUGAAUACGGUUUCGCGAGUUUUUAUAAGUUUAUUUUUUCUCUUGCUGAUCAUGAAGAUCGAAAUUUCUGUGCGGAAACUAAUAGUUAAGGACCACCAAGAUGGCGUAUGCUUUCGGAACGGCCAAGUAUAACGCAAGCAUUAGUGCGAUUCAGAAGCUUUGGAGGAGGUACCAAGAGCUUGGUGCCGUUUGCGACCGGGAAGGACGUGGACGCAAACGCUUGACAACGGACCGGAAUGAUGCAAGAAUCGUCAGAGAAGUGCGAAAAAAAUCAAGAGCUACAAGCAUAACUAUAAAAGAAAGCCUAUCAGAAAGCAACAGCAAGGAUUAAGGAGCAAGUUUGCGUCUCAGUGACCGUUAAUUCGAAAGAUCAACAAGAUCAAUCGUUUGGAAUUCGCCAAUAAAUACGUCCACAAGCCAAAAGGAUGAUGUGGUCAGAUGGAAGCAAAUACGAUGGCGGCAACAUCAAGGUUGCUUGGUCCGAUGUUGGAAACCUGGUUCAGAUUGAUGAACAUUCCCUACAAAACUUGGUUGAAAGCAUGCCUCGACGUCUCUGCAAGUAGUUAUCUGUGCAAAAGGAGGAAACCCGAAAUACUAGUGACUGGGGUUUUUAUGCUUUUGUUUCAAAUACACGACAUGUAUUCUUUUUAUUUGCCAGGCCAAAAUGAGGAACUCACUUUGUAGGAUGAUAUGCAAUUAUGAUCCUGGAAAAAUAAAAUCUCGAAAUUUGAUUCGAAUUCGUCUCCCUUUUGAUUACAUUUUUAGAACUAACAGAGUACAUUCUUAUUUAUUGCCAGUACUGUAUCACUUCAUACCAUAAGUAAGCUGAAAUGUUGCCAUACCUAGCAACCGUGUGGAAGCGAAGCGAUUCAGGGACCCGAAAACGGCUCAAGGACAACCGGAAGUGUUUCAAACACCGCAAACAACCGGAAAAUUCAUGUGUACUCAACUGGUUUCAACUAGAAUCUUCCCACGGUCAAUGACUGUAUUAUUAAUUGCACUUGAAUAUAGAAUUAAUAUGUUAUUAGAAAUGUAUUAUGUAGA